rnacentral:rRNA from 1 species
UGUUUCGGCUAGGGGGCCAUCCCGGCUUACCAACCCGAUGCAAACUGCGAAUACCGGAGAAUGUUAUCACGGGAGACACACGGCGGGUGCUAACGUCCGUCGUGAAGAGGGAAACAACCCAGACCGCCAGCUAAGGUCCCAAAGUCAUGGUUAAGUGGGAAACGAUGUGGGAAGGCCCAGACAGCCAGGAUGUUGGCUUAGAAGCAGCCAUCAUUUAAAGAAAGCGUAAUAGCUCACUGGUCGAGUCGGCCUGCGCGGAAGAUGUAACGGGGCUAAACCAUGCACCGAAGCUGCGGCAGCGACGCUGAUGCGUUGUUGGGUAGGGGAGCGUUCUGUAAGCC